GAUGAACGCUGGCGGCGUGCCUAAUACAUGCAAGUCGAGCGAACAGAUGAGGAGCUUGCUCCUCUGACGUUAGCGGCGGACGGGUGAGUAACACGUGGAUAACCUACCGAUAAGACUGGGAUAACUUCGGGAAACCGGAGCUAAUACCGGAUAAUAUAUUGAACCGCAUGGUUCAAUAGUGAAAGACGGUUUUGAUGUCACUUGUAGGUGGAUCCGCGCCGCAUUAGCUAGUUGGUAAGGUAACGGCUUACCAAGGCAACGAUGCGUAGCCGACCUGAGAGGGUGAUCGGCCACACUGGAACUGAGACACGGUCCAGACUCCUACGGGAGGCAGCAGUAGGGAAUCUUCCGCAAUGGGCGAAAGCCUGACGGAGCAACGCCGCGUGAGUGAUGAAGGUCUUCGGAUCGUAAAACUCUGUUAUUAGGGAAGAACAAAUGUGUAAGUAACUAUGCACGUCUUGACGGUACCUAAUCAGAAAGCCACGGCUAACUACGUG
rnacentral:rRNA from 1 species